CUACCGGGUAGAGAGGAAGGGGGACAAGGGGGAGUCAGCCACUGGGGAGGGCAGACCCAAGCCUCCGCGCAGGGCGAGGGCCAGGGGUACCCGGUCUGAGGGAUGACAGGAGCCAAACUUGGAGCCCCCUCCUUUCCUGACCUGGCGCGGGGACCCCCUUCUCUGCAGAAAGUGCUGUCUUGGGGCCUGGGGGCAGGGGUGGGGUGGGCACGAGGGCACGGAAUCCAGAUGGUUCUGGAGUUCCAGGUCUGCUCCUCACUGGCUGUGUGACUUGGGUAAGUUACUUCACUCUCCUGAGCCUCCGUUUUCUUGUUAGCAUUUUCAGACAGAAGGUUCUGCUCCACAGGACUGGCGUGAUUCAAUGAGAUAAAGCAUGUCAGGAAGCACUUUGUAGGUUGCUCUUUGUGUGAAUGAUUAUUAUUUGAAAGGAAAAUCUGAGGUGUUCUGCUGGAAAGGAGCGGGGUACAGCACAGCUAUCUGUUGUCACCAUGCCCAGGGAAGAGCGCCAACUAAAACAUGGGUCGGAAUUCAUUGCAGCAAGUGACCUUGAGGCUAAGGGCUGGGAGAGAAAGUGGGGGAGUCACAGCUUCCUGUUCAUCGCCCCCUCCCGGAGCACAGCCUGUGGGGACCUGAGUGGCCCGCCCUCAGUGCUGCUCCUGAGUCUGAAGCUGUCCUGCCAGCCUGUCACCCCCUGCCGUUUCACCCUUUCCUGCUCUAGUCUGUGGAGUCAGAGGCCAGCGGGACCCCCACCCCCUCCUCCAAUCCCCGAGCCCAUGUCAGAGACGCAUGGGUCCUGAGAUACACCCACACCCACACCUCAUCCUGUCUCCCCAUGAUCUCAGUCCUAACUGGCAAAAAUGCCUCACUGGGUCUUCCCCUUUCGCGCCCAUACCCGUAUCCUUUGCAUAAUGUGCUGUGAUGGGGAAAAAGAGAAGGUGGGAGGUGGGUAGAUAAGAGAGGGCUUUCUUUCAGGCGUUCCAAAACAUUCAACACCUUCCUGCCCUCUGCCAGCUAAUUAAGAUGCUUGAACUCCAAUUCCCUUGGAGUGCUGGGGAGGAGAAGGGCCCUUCUGGAACACCAAUCAGCAGUGGGUGUGAUGAACCUCCAGGAGAGACCCAGACUGGGUGCCAGCAUGUUUGGGUCAUUCAGCAAGGGGUGGGUAUGGAGUGGGUGGCAGAAGGGACAGACUGAGCCCAAGUUCAGGUGAGCCCCACAGGCCACCUGCUGGCCUUAGGGACUGUUCCUGGGUGCCUCUGUGCCAGUCCCUCUCUGUGUCAGGGCCAUGGUUUUGUUUGUUUCCACCCAGCAGCACGAUGACUGGCCGUGAACUGGUCAGUGCAUUGGACUUCUUUUUCUCUUUGAUGGAGAACAGAAGUGGGUCAGAAUUCCAGGGUUCUGCUACCCAUUUAAAAAAAUAUUUUUGUUAUUUUUAAGAUUUUAUUUCUUUUUGAGAGAGAGACUGCGAGAACAGGGGAGGGACAGAGAGAGAGGGAGACCGAGGAUCCCAAGCAGGCUCCACGCCGUCAGCACAGAGCCCCACGUGGGGUUCAAACUCAUGAACCGCGAGAUCAUGACCUGAACCGAAGUCUGAGGCUUAACCGACUGAGCCACCCAGGCGUCCCUGAAAUAUCUGGUCCUCUGAUCGUUUGUCCUUUAUUCAUUUCUAAUCUGAGUCCUUUCCUUGUUCUGACACUAGCAGCACCCGUGGUCACAAAGAGAGGUGAUGCCACCAGCUGGCUCAUCUAAGAACUUCACUUUGGAUCCUUUUUUUAUUUUGUUAGUUCAUGUGUUCAUUCAUUCAUUCACUGUCCACAGCGUUUCUUGAACCCUUAUUAUGUGUCAGGCCCUGUGCUAGAGGCAG